GAAAAUUCUGGUUCUAUGUUAUAGAAGGUUUUUUUUGUGUGUGUGUGAAAUGUAGAUUCAAAUUUCAAGGUUGCUAAAUUUUUUCUGUUUAUGCUUGGGAGAUACAGUGGAAGAGGGCUUUUUUUUUUAAUGCUGAAAUUCUACCUUCCACGUAGCUAGCUGUAUCAAACUGUUUUGUCCAGUGGAGUUCAGUUGAUUUUUUUUUUUAUAUAUAUAAUAUAUAACUGCACCUUUGCUCCUUUGCAUUUUUAUAUUCUCUCUUCAGUUUUUUGGUGUUUCAAGAUUGCUGUUUUUCAACUGUGCUGUGACUAUUUUACAUUUAUUUACCAAGAUAAUUGAGGUUUCAAGUCUGCAGUCUGCUUAAUUGCAUGGAUUGGGUGAAUGUUGACAGAACAAGUUUUGAGAUUUGUUGGCAUGUCAUAGUUUGUCUGAACACCUGGCACGUCUUUGUCAGGUGCCAUAGAAGUAGUGAUUUUUUAGGAAGUUUUUUACUUCAUGGGAAUUCGGUGUUGGAUAAUCUUUAACAAGUUUGUACUUGUUGAGAAUGCUGUCUUAGAUGAUUUUUUGAGAAGUUUUUGUAAUUAUUGAGAGGUCAUAUUCAUAAAAGUGAUAAAAAGUUUUUGCAAUGCUGUCUUAGAUUUAUUUGUUGUCAGUUAUGCACACCAGAACCAUGUCCUCACUGUCAUAUUUGACAUGGUAAUAUUCUGUUAUCAGCCCAUUGUUUGUCACUUGGAAGAAAGCUGUCAAUGGAAGUGAGCCUCGUUUACGUGGAUGCAUUGGAAC
rnacentral:lncRNA from 1 species